GUAUAUGUGAUCCAUGUAGAUGUGAUCCUGUAGUGUGAUCCUGCAGAUUGUGAUCCUGUAGAUGUGAUCCUGUAGUGUGAUCCUGUAGAUGUGAUCCUGUAGAUGUGAUCCAUGUAGAUGUGAUCCUGUAGUGUGAUCCUGUAGAUGUGAUCCAUGUAGAUGUGAUCCUGUAGUGUGAUCCUGUAGAUGUGAUCCAUGUAGAUGUGAUCCUGUAGUGUGAUCCUGUAGAUGUGAUCCUGUAGAUGUGAUCCAGUUUGUGGGAAAGCAAUAGUUAAUUUCCCUUUAGAGCCUGUGGCGUCACAUGACUUACAUCAUAGGUCUGUUCACCUUCACACUAAUGAGCUCUGAUUAAAUGCAUGAAAUCUCGUCCUUCCAUCCAAUCAUCACGUUUGUGCUCACCUGAUAGUGAUGCUUGGUUGAACCAACAUGACACACUUACAGUCACCUUCAUAUGUGUGUAUAAGGGGAUUAUGGGUAAAAGUGUAGAAUAAAAGAGAUCAUGUUGUUAAGAUAUAAAAGAGAAGAAUGAACACAGAGAAAAGCUCCAUUCAGACGGAUGGAAACACUGGACUCGCCGACUGUAUGUGUGUGUGUGUGUGUGUGCGCGUGUUUGUGUGCGUGUGUGAGUGUGUGUGUGACAGACAUGAAACAGAAAAACAGUGUCACAGUUUUCCCUGCCUUCCUCCUGGCAGACUGCAGCGAGAGGACGACUCGGAAAAAUCUGAUCUCAAAACAGCCGUCCCUGUGUGUGUGUGUGUGUGUUUGUGUGUGUGCGUGCGUGUGUGUGUGUGUGCGUGUGUGUGUGUGCGUGUGUCCACUUCUGUCAUUGUGCGUUCUGUUGUUUUCCAUCCAUUACAUUGACGGCAUGUUUGUGUGUCUUUUAUCCUUUUCCGUCUGUGUGUGUAGUUGUGUGUGUGGUUGUGUGAUUGUGUUUCCGUUUUUGCCACAAAUCAGAUCAACUGAAGGAACUUUUCCUGCUUCUCUCUGUUUCUCCCCCUUUUUCUCCCCUGCUUAACCUUCCUCCCUUUUCCACACUUUUUACUUUACUCACGCUUGUUUUUUUCUCUCUUAGUCCCCCUAACUCCCCCUCUCCCCCUCAUCUUUUUUGGUGUGUCUGUGUGUGAUAGUAAAAAAGGGAGGGAGGGGGGUUUUCUGCUUCACAACCUCGGUGACCACUUCCUCCGUCCACAUCCUGUUUAUUUUCUGUUUGGCGAUAGAGACCGGACUCCCUCAGAAAUAAACACAAAAAAGAACCCACACAACAACACAAGAAACUCCUAAUUACAUCUUCAAACACACGCACACACAC
ensembl:lncRNA